GACGGAAGGUGCAAGCGUUGCUCGGAAUCACUGGGCGUAAAGGGUGCGUAGGCGGCUUGGUAAGUUGGGUGUGAAAGCCCCGGGCUCAGCCCGGGAAGGGCACUCGAAACUGCCGAGCUGGAGUGCCGGAGGGGAGAGUGGAAUUCCUGGUGUAGCGGUGAAAUGCGUAGAGAUGUGGAGGAACACCAGUGGCGAAGGCGACUCUUUGGCCUGUAACUGACACUGAGGCGCGAAAGCGUGGGGAGCAAACAGG
rnacentral:rRNA from 1 species